rnacentral:lncRNA from 1 species
UGCAGUUGUUUUUAUUUAAACUUCUCUUGGCACCAUUUUCUCAUAACAGUCAUCCGCUAGGACUUGCCCUAAUGCCAAACCCCCAGCUCUCAGUGGUCUGUGAAGGUAACAGAAGGGAGUGAAAUAUCACUGCAUGCUUGUGCUGCUGGAGAGUGAGAAUUUUCACUACGCCUGUUUUGUGCAAACAUCCAACUUCUUGCACUCGAAUGCUUGCACAAACAGACUUGGCUUUGUUUUUAUCAACUGUUCUUAAAUGAAAGUUAUUUAUGCAGAGUAUAAACUGUUAUGCAUUAUCAUUCUAGCCAGUCAAACAGUCCCCCUCUUUUUAAGUAAUGUUGAGAGAAAGUGUUUCUGUUUUCCUAUUUUGACUGCACUACUUGUCAUUAGGUUCUAGAAUUUUUCCCAAAAGGCACCCUAUUCCCUUUAUGGUGUACUACUUUUGACCAGAGCCCUAUCGGCUUUGGUCAGAAGGAGUGCACUAUAAAGGGAAUAGGGUUCCAUUUGGGAUGCAUUUUGGGACACAACCUUGUGUAUGUCUGUCUGCUGAGUCUUCUAAAUAAAGUGAGCCUCAAGUCCCGAUUCUCUAACCUGUACCUAAAACCCUACUGACCAGUCAUAUGCAAUUAAUAAAUAUGUAUGACAUCAAUUUCCUGUGCAUGUUGGUGUUGAGGGAUUUUUGCCCUCAGUUCAAAUCUUUUGUUUCCCCUGUCUCAAGGACAAGGGGCUGAGUCACUGGCUUACUGGUGCUCUUCCAUGCCAUCCCUGGGAGGGGUGCGUCACUUGAGUGGGUUGAGUCAUUGACGUGAUCUCCUGUCUGGGUUGGCGCCCCCCAUUGGGUUGUGCCGUGGCGGCCUUGUCUCAGCCUUGUCUCAGGAUGGACCUGAGCCCUAGGACCAUGCCUCAGGACUAUCUGGCCUGAUGACUCCUUGCUGUCCCCAGUCCACCUGGCCGUGCUGCUGCUCCAGUUUCAACUGUUCUGCCUGCGGCUAUGGAAUCCUGACCUUUUCACCGGACGUGCUACCUGUCCCAGACCUGCUGUUUACAACUCUCUAGAGACAGCAGGAGCGGUAGAGAUACUCUCAAUGAUCGGCUAUGAAAAGCCAACUGACAUUUACUCCUGAGGUGCUGACCUGUUGCACCCUCGGCAUCCACUGUUAUUAUUAUUAUUUGACCCUGCUGGUCACCUAUGAACAUUUGAACAUCUUGGCCAUGUUCUGUUAAUCUCCCCCCGGCACAGCCAGAAGAGGACUGGCCACAACUCGUAGCCUGGUUAUUCUCUAGGUUUCUUCCUAGGUUCUGGCCUUUCUAGGGAGUUUUUCCUAGCCACCGUGCUUCUACACCUGCAUUGCUUGCUGUUUGGGGUUUAGGCUGGGUUUCUGUACAGCACUUUGAGAUAUCAGCUGAUGUAAGAAGGGCUUUAUAAAUAAAUGUGAUUGAUUGAUAAUGACAAAGCAAAAACAGGUUUUUAGACAUUUUUGCAAAUUUAUAAAAAAUCUAAAACAGAAAUACCUUAUUUAAAUAAGUAUUCAGACCCUUUGCUAUGAGACUUGAAAUUGAACUCAGCUGCAUCUCUGAUGUUGCACCUAUCCUGGGAUUGUGUAUGACUUAGAUGCUCACUCUCCUCUGUGAGCUCGUCUAGGCGUGUGAUCAAGGACAUGGGUUUUACUUGAGAUAGGGGUAUCUGGAGUUGACAGUUGAUUUAUGCCAUAGAAUGAGUUGGUGUUUAUGUACUAUGAAGUACCAGGGACGUGAUCUGAGCCUUGUCUUAGGGGCCAAACUCUGUACAAUAAGAACAGUCUUCAUAGCAAAUGCUAUCUGGCUGGGGGAUACUCCUUUCUCAAUUAUCAAGUCUCACCUUCGGACCCAUUCCACACAUCUGUUGUUUGCUAUGUAGACUAAGGGGGUGUAUCUUUGCUAUAAAAAGGUCUUUGUAUCCUUUGUGUCGGGGCUCUCAACGAAUCAUCUGAGGGUGGUUCGUCGACCAGCCAUCGCUAUUGCAGAGCUCUCACUAAUAAAGAUUCAGUUUAAGUAUAACUCUGACUUGUGUGAUAAGUUUGUCUCUCCUCAUUGAUAACACAGAAAUUAACCACUACGGUGGCCUCCAUCAUUCUUAAAUGGAAGAAGUUUGGAACCACCAAGAGGCAAACUAGAACUGGCCGCCUGGCCAAAUUGAGCAAUCAGGGCAGAAGGGACUUGGUCAGGGAGGUGACCAAGAACCUGAUGGUCACUCUGACAGAGCUCCAGAGUUUGUCUGUGGAGAUGGGAGAACAUUCCAGAAGGACAACCAUCUCUGCAGCACUCCACCAAGCGUGCUGGUGGCAGCAUCAUGCUGUGGGGAUGUUUUUA